UGAAAACAUCCAGCGAAUUAGCCUCCACUGCCUUCUGUGGCAGAGACUUCCACAGAUUCACAACUCUCUGGGUGAAAAGGUUUCUCCUCAUCUCAGUGCUAAAUAGCCCACCCCUUUAUUCUUUGUACUGUGACCCCUUGUUCUGGACUUCCCCAACAU